UAUGCAAUAUUAUAAUGGAUUCCAACACAUCAGGCUUCUUUCUGAAUCCUUCUGCCCCUCACUCAGUUUACUAUCAGGCAAAAGAAGAUGAUGGUAUUAUAGAUCUGGGCCUUAGUCUCAGAACUUUGCAACUUGAAGCUUAUCAUCCAUCAGCACAUUGACCAUCUUUUGAAGGAAAGAUAUCUAAUUCAGGAAAUGAUUAGGAAAACAUUAAUAGAUAGGAGGAAUCGAUUAACACAGAAGUAGCGAGAACAUAUAAAAUUUCCCUGAAAGGAAAAGAAAAUCACCAAGUUGUCAUGAGAGAGAGAUGCUUAUUAGAUGAUGACAAAAUUUGAUUAGUGAUGCAUGUGCUUUGCUUACUUGCACUGUUCCUUACCAUAUAUAAUCUUAAUAAUUAUGUUACUAUAAAGCAAUCACUUGUUUGGAGAGUUCUAAAGUCACUAGAGGUCCUAAAACGAACCAGUCAUAUUUGUUUAGAUAAAUGGGCCAUUCAUUCUAAAAGAAAUUGAAACAAAAGGCUGCUGAGGCUGAGUCUGGCCGUGCUAUAUCAUACUAAAGUUCAAUCUGGACUAAUCUAGUUACAGAAAACCACAUUGUAUUUGGAGAGCUUAGAACAAGCUAAGAAAGGUUAAUGGAACAAAUAAUAGAAAUACUAAACUGACUUGGAACAACAGAACAGAUAUAAUAGACCACAAAGCUGAAUCUAACUUCAGCAGAAAAAUGACUGAAGGCAUUGCAGGGAGACAAUUAUAGGUAGAGAUAGGACACAUUUGGAAAUUCACUCCCCUGUCUCCGCAACUAUCAAUAACGUAUUGAUAAACUUCAAGUUUCGACCGCAAAUUUAAUACCAACGUAAUUACGAUAUUGAAAUCAGAGGAGUUAUCACAGUAUAGUAGGAUUAUACUGAUUAAUUACAUUUUUCAUUUCAUUUGAAGCUUAAGAAGAAAAUUAUAUUGUCUAUUCACUAAGACAGGUCUAACCAGUGUUUUUUGUUACGUAUGUAUCAGUCAUGAGUCAGGAGGGAUAUGGUGAACUGAUGGCCUGGCCUCAGGCAAAUCCGUCGAUGAAACAUUCAAAUUCAGGAUAUGAAGGAACUACACGACAAGAAUGCGAUGAGGAGGCAGAGGGGCUGCAAAGCAAAGAAAGUUGGGCUUAUGUAAACGUGAACAUGGAUGGGGUAGUUGUCGGCAGGAAAAUUUGCAUGCUAGAUCAUGGUGGUUACUCCUGCCUCGCAGUUCAACUAGAAGACAUGUUUGGGCAAAAUACUUAGCCUUGGGAGCGUGACAUUUUUCUGACUAUAAAAUUAAAUAAAAUGAUUCAAGAUUCAUUAAUUGUUUUAGGAAGACAUUCUGCAACUGGGUUAAGGCUGUUCCAGCCAGGGUCUGAAUUCUGCUUGUUUUAUAAGGACAGGGAGGAGAACUGGAGGACUGUUGGUGAUGUCCCUUGGAAGUAGGUUCUUUAUUGCUGUUACAUAACUAUGUUUCUUCUUUGUAUUAGAUAAGACAUAGUAGUUCAGUGAGAUAUUUUUCUGAAUCUUGACAGGGAGUUUGUGGAAAGUGUGAAACGUCUAAGGAUUGCACAAAGAAAGUGAACCUUGUCUACCAUAUUCUUGUGCAACUUG